UUCCCAGGCAAAAUUUCUAGUAACUCAGCAUUUGGUACCAUCUUUACUAUAAUUUUAUACAGUAUCCUGCAUGUCUCAUUAAUUAAGACUUAAAUCCUUUUAUAGAUUGUCACAUCAGUGAGCAAGGUUCAGUUUAGGGAUUGAGAGCCCUCAGCGACUGUAACACCUAGCCCAUAUUCAAAUUGUAGCACUUGAUUGCUGCCACUGAUUCUUCAAAAUGCCUAUUUUGUAUGGAAUGAUUGACAGCCAAAUGGAAUGAUUUAAACAAAUGCCAAAGGUGAAACAUGCUGGAAAAGCUUGAUGUGAAUGUGUAGACAUAGUUUUGGAAUUCAGAGGUGCAGCCGGCUGUUGGGAUUGGGCCAUCCAGGCAAUGUGGAUAUUCUGCCAUGUACAUGACAAACUGAGGAUUCUUCGUCAACAUGCAAGAUGUUACUCCCUGUAAACUACUGUUGGCAGAAAAGCUGAUACAUUGGGAAAACGGUUAUGGCAAGUGCGAUGAAUAAAUCACCAUAGGUCAGUUGUCUUGCAUUCACAAUUGCGACGAAGAUGAAUCAUGGAGUCAAAAACAUUAAAAGAACAUGCUGGAAUUCAUGUCAUCCUGGAGAGGACUAAAAAAAACGAGCUUUAUCCACAAAGCAGCUCAUUAAUCAUGUCCCAAACGAUUGUCUGCGUCAGCCAGCAAUCUUUCAAUGGCUAACAAGCAUUUAAUAGUUUUGAAAAUCGCGGUUUGCACUCCCUAAGGCGACAUUCCUUAAUCCUCACCUGUCAAUAGAUUUGAGUGCAACCAUUUCUAUUCUGAACUGUCGCCUACGAAAUUCUUUUUCCAUAAAAUGAGGUGAUAUGAUAUUAUAAUGGAAAUUGUUGUCAAGACUGCCGAGACCAGCCCAUGGAAGAUCUCUGUGUCCAACACGAAGGGUUCUUCGAAACUUUCGUAUUCAAGUUUUGGCUAUGGUGAUCAUUUGCAACUGCAUAGCAUUUUAGAAGCUCCUGCCAGGAAUCUACAGGAAUAUGGCAGAUGAUGA